GUUUGUGUGUGUUCAGGUGCAGAUUCUCCUGCAGGAGGUGCAGCAGCUCAGAGAGGAUCUGAGGAGCAGAGACCGAACCAUCGCACAGCUCACCCUGCAGCUGACGGUUCCCACGGUGACCACCAGGUGUCGUUGCCAGGAGACGGCAGGAAAGAUGGAUCAGCACACGCAGACGAGUGUGAUGGAGAGUGAGAGUGUGGCCUCACAGACACCCUGGAGAGAACACACUGCUUUUCCUCCUGUUCCUUUCCUCUCUCCUCCCUGGCAGUAUCAGCGCUCCAGACCUUACAGGGGGAGGCCGAGGCCCAGCAUCCCCCCCCACCUCGCUAAGAAAAGAGUGGAAACACUAGUGCUUUACUUCAGUGACACAGCAUGUCACAGAUACUUCACUCCUCCAAUCAGGAAGUCCAGGAAUCACUGACAGUCCCAGCGCUCACACAAGCUCCGCCUCCAGCCAGCAUUAGCCCCGCCUCCGCUGACUGCACGGCCCACAGAGGAGAGGAUGAUGGGAAACGACGGACAAAGAUGGAGGAGCGAUUAGAAAGAAGAGGUCCCUCCUCUAGAUCCCUGCUGCCCCCCCAGCCCUCUAAGCUCCACCUCUUCCUGUCGCACACUUCCUCCGCCCCUGGCUCCGCCUCUCCAAAGUCUGGGGUUAAGAUCAGAACGAUGGCCUCCUCCUCUUCCUCCUCCCGCCUCCCCAAGCCAAAGAUCCAUUGAAGCUCCUCCUUCCUAACGCACAGCGACGUGAUCGGAAACUCGAUGUUUAACUUAUUUAACGUUAAUAUUUAGAGCAGAGUUUAGUUAUAAAGGUUCAGAACGUUUGUGGGCUCAGAUGUUAAUGAGGAAAUAAAAUGACGACUAAAAUAAACUGAUCUUCACUCGCUGUGUGUUAGGAACCGAUUCCCCUCCGCCCUUCAUCCUUCCCGUGAGUCUUCCUCAGGAGGAGGAGUCAUCAAACACCUGAAGCGACUUGAAUCCAACCUCGACCUCCGACAUCAUUCAUUCAUUCUGAAACACUGAAGGUCAGAAAACCAACUUCUCACUGCGUUCACUCGUUCCUUCCACUUUGGUUCUCAUGAAACCAGACCAACCGGUUUGAUUUCAGACACGUCUGGAAUCGUUUUCCAUAUCACUGCUGUUCACUGUGAGAAAACUUCCUCCGGUGUGAGCUGAGCACACGCCUGAAGGAGGAAGACAAUCAUUUAUUUUAUUUAUUCAUUCAUUGUUCUGACGUUUUUUAAUGUAGACAAGUCUCAGUAUGCUUCAAAUAAAAUCAGUCACCUCCAGUUUAAAGAAACCAACACUGCCUUCAAAUGGUUUUUGGCCCACGCUCCAUAUGUUUGACACCGGUCAUCUAGAAGCUAACAAGCUAAUUAGCGAUAAACAUAAUGACACAAUGAAAAGAGUAACUUUGUCCUCAGAUAUAAAAUCAAAACUCUAAUGUAUUAACUUAAUGUUUCUGAAUAUGUCAUGAAAACCACAAGGGGGCGCCACUCACGUAAAAACAACUUUUACUUUAACUUUACUGUCCAGAAACAUUUCACAACAACACAUAAAGACUGAUAUGAAAAAUGAAAUAAAUAAAGACCUCAUUAGAGGCAGCAGCUGCUACAAUAUUCUACUGACCACAUGGUGGCGCUGCUGCUGAUUUACACUCAGACUGAGACCAGAUCUUAAGUUCUGGCUGAGGAUGAAUUAAUGGAGACACAUUUUAAUUAAUUAAGACCAGGAUGAUCAAAUAAUUUAUUAAUCUGUGGAAUCAGGUUCAGUCAUGAUCUAGAGAUAAAUCUGGAGCCUUUGGAGGAAUUUUAUUUCUGAUCAACUUGAUUAUUUUUAAUUGAAUUUAAAUGAUGUGAAUGACUGUGAUCCGGUAGGUUUGAAGCCGGUUUGAAGCCGGUUUGAAGCUGGUUUGAAGCCAGUUUGAAGCCGGUUUGAAGCCGGUUUGAAGCAUACUGAGCUCGUUAAACUUCUACUUCGUCGUUCCUGCGUCAACAUUCAGCUUCUCUGAGUUUUAUUCUGACUUGUGCAGCCGGAUCACGUCUCCACCGCCGCCCUAACAUUUAGUCAAAGGAACACUCUGACAUUUUCCCUCCACCGGUGAAUCAAACAGUAAAAUAUCAGCGCCGCUCGCUUUAACGUCACAGUAUGCAAGAAAAUAUGCAACACAGUCGUAGGUUUAACUCCGAGAUGACUCACGCUGCCCUGAUUUAUAUAUGCAAAACGUUUCCUGUCCACAGACUCGCUGACAAUCACCGCACUGAGGCCGGGUCCCUCAGACCAGGUCCCUGAGGCCGGGGUCCCUGAGGCCGGGGUCCCUGAGGCCGGGGUCCCUGAGGCUGGGGUCCCUGAGGCCGGGUCCCUGGACGACAACAGCAACAAAAAUAUAAAGACAACAGUAGUUUUUUCAGUAGUUUGGACGUGAGUUUGAGUUUCAUAACAAAAAUUAAUUAAGAGUCACAGCUGACAGUUUAUUCAUUGGAAUAUUAUAUAAUUAUACGAGUUAAAACCUAUUUCAAAGUAAAACUAAGAGCAAACAAACGUCACAUUUAUCUUCACGUCUAAAUGAAGAGGACUCAUAUUUAUUUAUUUAGUUUUAAUUAAAUUAAGUUCAUAUUAAAUCCACUCCAGUAAAGACUAAAACACGUUCUCAACAGAUUAGAUCCAGCUCUGGUUUAAUUAAAUUAAAUCCAGGUUUAGCCUCGGGUUCAUCAGAAUCAUUUUUUAAUUAUCAGAAUCCGGUGUCGUGUUAAAAAUCUACAAGUUUCAGUCGGUGUUGACUAAAAUGAACUCAUUUUUCUCUCUAUUUAAUUAUAUUUCUCUUAUUUAAUUUAAAUCACAAACAUGUUCAGAGAACGUUUCUGUUCUUCCCUACGAUGGAAGAUUCCAGAGUUCAGCUCUAAUCUCAGCCUCUAAAACACAUAAAAGUAAAGUGAGGAACUUUAUCAGAUAUGAACACGACACCGGUCACUCUCCUCUACGGUCAUUUCUGUUUUCUUCUUAUUUUAAAAGUUGUUGUUGUGUCCAGCUGAUCCUCUCUCAGCUCUUCUUUCUGCUUAUUACUCUAAUCACCGUCAAUAAAAUGAACUUUAAAAAGAUAAAAACACUUAAAAUUCACAAAUUAAAGAAAUAAAAACAGGACUUUUAGUGAAGGAACGUGAUUUAACUUUAGGGUGUGAUGGGUGAGGAUGGAGGGUGAUAUAUAUUUAAUUGAGCCGUGUAGUCGCUCCACUGUCUGCUCUGCUUUUAUUUUGUUGUGCAAUAACCAGAGAAGUCGUUAUUUAUGAACUGUAAUGGAUUAAACAUGUCGAUGUUAAAGAAGCUAAAAAUGCACUUUAAAUAAUAAAACUGAUUUUAUUUACUUUUAUUUAUCUUUAAUUUUGUUGCUGCGUUCAAGUCACACGGAGAAAAGUGGAAAACACAUUGUCCGUUAUUUAUGUCCAUUAUUUAUUAUUUAAACGGUUCAAAAGACGUCGAGAAAUUCUUCUUCUGUUUGUUUUAAAGUCGCCUAAAAAACUUAAAUCGGAGAAAAAUUGAAUCAAACUUUUGCCUUUUUAGUUUUAAAGGAGUUCACGCUUAGUGACCUGAACGCAGCACGAAUGUGUUCAGGACGUUUCUUUAAAUCCUCGGAUCGCUGCAGCUCAUUGGUCAGUGUGUGUGGUUCUCUUCUGUCAUUGGCUGAAAUGUCUCUGAUGCUGCUCCAAUAAAAAAUAACCUUCAUCAAAA